AAUAAACGCUGGCGGCGUGCCUAACACAUGCAAGUCGAGCGAGAAAGCUCCUUCGGGAGUUAGUAAAGCGGCGAACGGGUGAGCAACACGUGAGAAUCUACCCUUUAGUGAAGAAUACCCUCGAGAAAUCGAGGCUAAUACUGCAUACGUCCCUUCGGGGAGAAAGAUGGCCUCUUUGCUAUCGCUAAAGGAUGAGCUUGCGUACUAUUAGCUAGUUGGCGGGGUAAAGGCCCACCAAGGCAAUGAUGGUUAACCGGCCUGAGAGGGUGUACGGUCACACUGGAACUUAGACACGGUCCAGACUCCUACGGGAGGCAGCAGUGAGGAAUCUUGCGCAAUGGGCGAAAGCCUGACGCAGCGACGCCGCGUGGAGGAUGACGGUUUUCGGAUUGUAAACUCCUGUUAAGCGGGAAGAAAGCCUUGUUUCUAAUACAAGCAAGGUAUGACGGUACCGCUAGAGAAAGCACCGGCUAACUUCGUGCCAGCAGCCGCGGUAAAGCGUAUGU
rnacentral:rRNA from 1 species